rnacentral:rRNA from 1 species
UGCCCCUACGGGAGGCAGCAGUAGGGAAUUUUGCGCAAUGGGGGAAACCCUGAUGCAGCGACGCCGCGUGAGCGAUGAAGUAUCUCGGUAUGUAAAGCUCUCUCAGCAGGGAAGAAAGUGACAGUACCUGACUAAGAAGCCCCGGCUAACUACGUGCCAGCAGCCGCGGUAAUACGUAGGGGGCAAGCGUUAUCCGGAUUCACUGGGCGUAAAGGGAGCGCAGGCGGCACGGCAAGUCUGGUGUGAAAACCCGGGGCUCAACCCCGGGACCGCAUUGGAAACUGCCGGGCUGGAGUGUCGGAGGG